rnacentral:misc_RNA from 1 species
CCACAUGCAUAAGUAGUCGCACAAGCGCACAUACUCGCACCGCUCUGUUGCCUUUUUGUUGUUGUUGCGCUGCCGCGGCGCUUCCCUCCUCCCACAUCGUACCAUUGCAGAUGAGGGCUGGUGCGUCUGGCCAACCACGAGGAGCGAGCCGUAUGAAACCAUUCUGCAGCAAAAGAAGGCGCUUGGGGACUGUGCGCGAUGGCGCGGGCGCUAGUCGCUCACAGGAUGCAUCGCUGGGUCACUGGAUCGACAGCGAUGCCCUGCCCUCGAACCCGUCGCGGAUCUCUUCGUCGGCCGCGACAGAUAAGCACCCUUCAUCGCCACCGAGCGCUUUGGCAGCGACGACGAUAGUGGCUGCAACCGCUAUGUCCAGAAACACCGCCCGCUGCGCCGCGACACGCGUAGAAAACCUGCAUCAGUGGAUCUUGGCCGUCAAGCAGCCAUCUCUGCCUACCGCAGCCUCCGCAGCUCCUACUCUUUCGGACACAGCGCAGGAGCGCGGGGUGCGCAGCGUGCGCUCCGACAGCGCCACGAUGGACGGUAGUAGGCGCCACAGCUCCGCAUCAGUCGUGGUGCGCCUUCCCCUGGAAGAGCGAAUUGGUCUGCCCGAGUUGAAGAGCAUCAUGCGCGCUUUCCAAGUGCCCCCGCUCGGGGCAGAUGGCCAACUGCUGAAAGCGCCAUCAAGCGAGAGCCCAGGCAGCGGAACCGCUGACGGUGUUGUAGCGCCACUGAAGACGCAUCGCUCGGCAAAUGAGCUGUCCGCCAUCGUGGCUGACCUCCACCGAAAACCCCAUUCAGCGCAUCCGCCCGACCAGAAUAGCACAGGUGACCCCACUGGCGCGCAUUCACCCGCAGAGGGUAAGCAACAGAUGCACCUGCAUGCUCCUGCUCCUGCGCUUUCCUCAUCGAGGUUAGCCUUGCGGAGCUUGUCUCAGGAGGAGUUCGUCCACGCCAUCCAGAGCGCAGUGCCGUCUGCUACUCUGCCCGAGAUCCAGGCGCUGCUCAGCAAGACAAUCUCCGAGACGCAGGACACCGUCUCCUGGAAUGAACUGACCGCGUUUCUGGUGACACGCUCGCGACAGAAGGCCGACCUCGCCCUCGAGAAUCAGCGCUUCGUCCUUGGCGGCCCGCCACGUGGGAUGCGCUUCGACGACCAGCACAGCAGCUCCAUCACAUGCGUCGCGGUGGAGCCGGUGCGCCGCCUUCUCGUGACGGGCUGCAGCGAGGGCUCUGUGCGGGCCUGGAGCAGCGGCAAUGACCUUGCCUACCGAGGCCUACUGCUGCAGGUGGAUAAGUGGAUUGUAGGGCUGCACUGGGGGUGCAACAAGCGUGUUCUCUACGUCGUCACCAUGGAUCGCUGGGUUUAUAUCCUGGACGGGACCACGUACGAGGUGCUCCGCGUCUACCACGGCCGCGGCAUCACUCAGUCCUCGGUCAGCAUGACGUACGCUAACGAGACGAUCGACACUGUGCACGUGGGCGGGGUUGCGCUAUCGAAACUCACCGCAUCCAGUGCUCGCAGCUACGGAAGCGCGCGCCUCAUCCCACAUGGCAUCGGCUCCCCGGGUAAAUCGAGGACGCCGCCGUCAUCGCGUCCCCUCACUAGCCGCGCCGGCUCGCGGGAGUCGCAUGAAGAGCGCACUCGACGUCUGCUCUUCUCUGUCAUGCACCUGUGCCGCGCCGUGCGUCCCGCGCGCAAAGAGACGGAUGCCGCCGAGCACCCGCGCCGCAACUGGUCAACACAGACUGGGGAUGCCACCGCGGCAGCAGGUGCGAGCGCGUCACCGGCGUCCCCGUCGUGCACAGAGGUGUCAUCUCCUUUGCCUACAUCCAUCCUGACGACGAUGUACUCGCUCACAACCGCCGACGCAGCUGAGGUGCUGCACCAGAACAACACUCCGCUAACCGGGGCUGGCAGAGGUCCUUAUGUUCACCAGCAACUAGACGAGUGCGUUCUCACUGCCUUGAUCGACCCUGUGACGGCGACGGCGUUUCACGAAUCUGCUUUCCAAGAGGAUGUGCUGCUGCUGGGCACGAGCGCAGGCGACGUCUUUCUCUUUCAGCUUGCGCAGCAUCACCACCUCAACACAAAUCGGGUGCUCGUGGCGCGGCACGUCUUCCGCCGGCUGCACCGCGGCCGCGUCACAAAACUGGAUCUUCUGUUGCCUCUGCACGCGCUAGUCAGCUCUGGCGAUGACGGACACGUCCGCGUCAUGUCCCUCGUAACUGGGGAGCCACUUCGGUCCUUCUAUGCGGCUGACCUCCCCGAGCAGCAUGCGAGCGUAACCGACUUUGACUUGCACCCGCAGCUGAAGAUGUUGCUGACUGUCGGCCCAGAGCGGCGUGCGCUCGUCUGGGAAUGGACUCAGCCCUCUCCCAUCGCACUACUCGACCCGGCCAACAGCCCAUGCUGCGGCGGCGCCUUCAUCGGUGACCGAGUGCUGACGAUUAGCCGCGAUGGGGUGCUGCACGUGUACGACUGCAAAGGGUUUCACCUCCAGCAGGAAGUCUCCUUGGCCACGGCGGGCUCCCUCGAUCGCUUCGGCAGCGCCGUCGGGGCCACCCACUCCGCCAUCUCGCAGGUGCACGUGGACGAGGCGCAGCAGAGGGUUCUGUGUUUUGGGCACUUCCCGUUUUCCCUGCGCGUGAAGUGGCAGGUCUCCUCUGGCUUUCCGGAGCGCUACCGAGGCCACCACGUGCCGAUUCUCACGACGUUGUCUUCGCGUCCCUUUCGGCAGGUGGUGACGGUGGGCACAGACGGUGUCGUCAUGACGUGGACGCCGCGGACAGGGGCGAACGAGUUUUCGUUUCCACUCUCGAACUUCUCGAACAUGGCAACAGCUUCAGUCCCGCUUCGACCGACGGCUGUCUCCAUGGACCUCUUGCAGCGCCGCCUACUCACGGGCUUUGCCGGCGGCAUCAUGGUUGUAUGGAACAUCCUGAACGGCCAAGUGGAGCGCGUCUUGACAGCUGCCCCGGCAGCUGCGUUACCGUCGCCUUCGUCCUCGCCGGCGGCUUCGAAUGGCACAGCGAGGAAGAGAGUGAAGCCAAUGUCCGGCCGUGGUAGAUCUGCCGCCACCGCCUCUGUGGAGAGACCUGCGGCCACAGCGACAGCGGUGGCGUUGACUUCACCGAGCCGUGACGUCACCGCCGUCGGCUCGUUUCUGCGGCACCGCUCCGUUUCGUACAUCUUCGUCCUCGCCUCGCGCGUGUACGUGGACGCGGCGGUGGAAAGCUCUGGCGCCGCAGAGCGGUGCAGCAGCCCUCAACUCGGCGAGUACUCUACCACUCCGGCGUCAUCAUGGACGGUGCCGGGUGCAUUUGGCGAUGUGGCAACGAUAGUGCAGCUAGGGAUGCAGCUUGUCGGGUGCGCAACCGCCUCUGGAGCAGUUCUCGUGUACAACGUGCUCUUCGAUCGGCAGGAGGGUGCGCCGCUGUGGGUGCAAGAGUCUCUGCUAUCCCCGACUUGGGUCACCGGCGGCAUUCUCUCUCCGACGUCAACGGUGAACGCCGCAUGCGAUUUCGCCAGCGUUGAAGGUUCGAGUACAUUACUGUGGAGAAACGGCACCGUGUCGGCUGCCGGCCGGCGGAUGAGCGGCAGCGGCGUGCUUGCCGGAACGCAAAGCCAGCGCGCCGUCCCUGGCGCCGCCCCGCUCUUCCUCGGGUCCCUUGCGAACCGAUCGGGGGCUGCGGGGGCAGCCCAGGCUGCCGGUGCUGACCCGGUGGCCACGGCGGCAGCGACGACAGGCGCAGUUGUCUCGCGCGUAAGUUGCCUCAUGACGCUGCCGGCUGUUCACCCGCGGCUGCUGUUCGUGGGACAGGAGGACGGCACCGUGUCGUUCUGGCACACGCUGCGUCGCGUUUGCCUGGGUGCCGUGAGUUUGACAACUGCGGCUGGUGUCGAGGAUGGGAGGCAAGGGGAGAGCACGGAGUGGGGUGGAGGCGAGGCGGUGGUGGACAUGGACAUGGAGGAGACAGAUGGGCAAACGCUCGUGUUCGGUGACGGUGAGGGCAAGGUUCACGUAUGCCGUUUGAAGUGGAAGAUGCUGGCGGACUCGCACGAGCAGACGGCUGCUCUCGCGAUGCCUAAUCUGGCCUUGUACUGCCGGACGCCAACGCCAACGAAGGGGCAACUUCCCGCGGUUGCAGCGUCGGCGGCGAGCUCGGCAGAGGAUGCGACGGCUUCCGAGCGGGCGCUGCCGGUACUGCAGGAACUGGAGCGCGUGCACGUGUUUUCAAGUGGGCUCAAGCUGUCUGGCAUUCGUCUUGUCCUCGCCGACGAGGAGACCGCGGCCGUCCGUACCGCCGUACCGCUGCCCAAGGCGAAGGCAGGCGCCGAAGAUGUUGGUAUCGCACCGGAAGAGGGCGGGGGCAGAGACGCCCUCAGCUCCUCGCUGGGGACGCACAAGGAUACCGACAGGCCUCGCCUGCUCAUCAUCUGCACUGGCAUCGACCACUUCGUGCGUGUCUUCACCUUGGCAGGCGUCCCCAUUGGAGAACUCGGCAUGGACGAGUGGGACACUGCGCGGCCGUCGACCUUCCGCUUCAUGGGCGAGCCGACCGUGCCGCCUGCCGUCCUGCUGCCGUGCUCGCUUGCGGGCAACUUCACGUGGCAGCAAGACGGACACGACAAAAUCAAGAGGAGCAGCUGCUACCACGAUUACUUGGCCGACCUGUACGCGACGCACCAUGCACGACCUGCGAUGCUGGACGGGCCCCCCAAGGGGCUUGCAUGCAGUGGCAACGUGCCGCCGGGCGGCACCGCAGCGUUACGGCGAACGAUGGGUGGAACCGUCUACCUUGGCUGUCCCGACAGCACCCCGUCACGCGCCGCCGUCAGGGCGUCGUUGGUGGACCGUCCGUCACCUGCUAUCGACGCCCCGCACUUGGUGGAUAGGGUCAGGAGCGCCGCGGGAGUGGACAAGCGGCAGAGCCACGGAAACUCAAAAGCGGUCGCUUUCACGAAGAGCGUCGAAACGGGCACGACGGCUGCACCCGAACUCUUCUCCGAGGACGGUGGCAGCCUGCUCCCGUCUCACCUGAGCCCCGGCCAACGGCGCCCCGCCAACCAAGGCUUCCACGCGCGCCUCCGGCAAAGCACGCGGCACUUGUGCGAGAAAGAUCGACUCUUUCACGGGGUGCUAAAGCACUCGUAUGUACGUCAGCUCCAAAACCUCCACCGCCAGGGGCACGCAUCGUCGUUGUUGUCGUUCCAACAGCCGCCGGCAGCGCUACCCGAACUGCCUACCAUCCUGCCCAGCACCUCUGCGACACCAUCUGCUGCAGCCAGCGAGCACAGCGAAACCGCUGGACAAAGCCAGGCUGCAAAGUAGCUUCGCGGGUCGUUGGAGCAUGCCGCCGACACCUCUGCAAACUUUCCAGAUGGACCGCGUGAGCCUUACCCCGUUUUUGUCGCGCUGCGCCGCAGCAGCGCUUGCACGGUGUCUGCCAAACGGCGCGAAAGCGUCCAUGACGCGCCGCCAUCCCAGCGUGGCCUUCACGGAUGCGCCUCACAGCGCCGAUGGAAGCCUGCGGAAUCGCUCGCGGUAGUCGUGCUGCAUGGUUGCGGCACCGUUUGAGAUGAGCAUUUUGGCGCAGCUCAACCUGUACGUGACUGAGACACCGCUUCUCCAUCCGCCGUCUCCCGUGGGAAUCGUCGCUGGGAAAGGCGGCCAUAGUUGGGGAGGCGAUCGUCGCCGCUGACCGUUGUGCAUUCAAACGAGCAGGCGACACGUGCCGGCACGCACAGCCCCUCCAACCUCGCACGUGUUCUCCACAUCUGUGGCAAUAAUAAUAAUCACGGCGAAGGCGCGUCGCGGCGACAGUCCGGCUUUGAGUGAGCGAGCCCCCGCUAACGCCGCGCUGUGUGACGUGCUGAUCAAGGCAGCAGGACCGCUGUCCGCAGCUGCCCUCCAAAAGCGAAGCAGAGUCGUAUUCGAGCAGCAGGGAUUCACAUACGGUCUUUCUUAUCUGUCUCUCGAGCGGGGGGGGUCUCAUCGUGAGCACCCGUGCGGCGGCGGGGUGGGAGCUGAAAAAACUCUCCCAAGGGGUUCCUGGGAAAAGUGACGUUACGGGCGUGCACGGCGCCAGUGAGGGAGCCGUCAACUCCAUCCUUGGAAUGCUAACAGGGGCAGCACUCGAGCAUGAUGCUACCGACACGCACUCGGCGGUGAGACUGAGGUCGCAGCGGCGAGGGGGAGGGCGUGUGUGUGCUGUGUGGUGUGUUGUAAAGCAGAAGACAUAGCCGGAGCACUCCGCAGCACUGCGCAGCACUGCGCGAUAUGGAACGGGCGCUGGAGUGUGUGUGUGUGUACCUGUGCAUCCCUCCAGACAGAUGGGUCCACCGUGCAGUGUUUCUCAUAACUCUUCUCCUGCUACUGCUCGAAUACCGUUCUGGGAACGUUUCUCUCUUUUUAUGUGUGUGUAGUCCCCGCGUUGCUUACGGCACACACAUACACAUACCAACACCCCUCUUCUUCUGCCUGUGACUCCUCUCGUGGCGCUCUCCUCUACCGCGGCCUCCCUCCCAACAACGCCAUGUCAGGGCUCCUUUCUCUGUCCCUGGUGAGAGGGGAGGGCAGAUGAUACGUUUGCUCUUUGGCGAGGCUCCUGCCCUUCUUUCGGGGCUGCCGUGCUAGUGCGUAUCUGUGUGUGUGUGUGUGUGUGUCCCGGAAUCCUUUGCCUCCGCUUUCAAAAGGCAACGGAAAAGCGUUAUAUCUAGGCAUAACUCUCUCUAUAUAUGUAUACAUGCAUAUCUAGUCCCAUAAAUCAUCACGAUGUACUCUCCUCCCCGAUCCUUCCGUCUUCUCUCCCUCGACGCAG